CUUACCUUAACACAUGAAAUCGAACCCAGAUGAUGGAAGCUCUACGCGAUGCUUCACCGAUGCAGUUUGGGAAAAAUCCACGAUGCAGGCAGGUCUAGCUUGGGUUUUCACACACCCACCGUCCUCUCUGGCUCGCCAAGGGACCCAGAUUCAAGCUUAAGUAAGCUCUCCCCUAAUGGCAGAAGCUCUGGUCAUUCGAUUGGCCCUCCAACAGGCAGUACUCCUUGAUGUCACUGAUGUCAAGAUCUACUCCGACAACCAAACUCUUGUAAGAGUCAUCAACAACAAACUCUCCGACAAAGAGAUCUAUGGUGUAGUCCAAGACAUCAUCAAUCUCUCUGCUCUGUUUGUUCAUCUAUCGUUUUUCUCAGUUUCUAGGGUUGAAAUGGGGAAGCUGAUAUGUUAGCAAAAACCAUUCUCAAAACCCACUUAGUGUAAUGAAUCUAUGGGCUUAGGCCCAAAAACUAUAUUUUCCUAAUUAAAUUACAAGUUGAUAAAAAAAAAUUGAAGCCCCCACUGUAUGUUUUAAUAUUUACAGCAAUGCCACUAUAUUUAAAUUAAAAAAAAAAACAUUUAUGAAAAUUAUCCAACGAUUCUUAACUAUUUUCUUAAGAUAAAUAUAUAUAUAUAUAUAUAUUAUCUAUACUAUUAAAACACAAGAUCUUAAUUGAAACCCCCUUGAUAUAUUUUAAUAUUUACAGAAAUACCACUAUAUUUAAAUUUAAAUAAACAAACUAUGACAAUUAUUAUACUUAUCCAACUAUUCUUAACUAUUUUCCUAAAAUGAAUCCUACUAUAUAAAAGAAGCUAUUUUUAGAGCUUCUAAGGGGUGCCACAUCAGAUGAAAUAUUCCUCACCAAUUAAAGUGACAUGUCAUACUUAUGUUUGUGUGUGUAUUCUUUACGCCGACGUCAUGUUUUCUGCCACGUCAAACACCUUCUCUUUCUUCGAGCGUAGUCUUCUUAGUGUCCUAUAUUCCACCACCGAUCUCAGAACCCAUGUGUAACGCUAUCGUUCCUCAUUGAAGCCACUUGACAACGUCUCUCCAUUAACUACCUCUCUGUCCAGCUCUCCCACUAUGUCGACUUUAAUAACCCAUUUCUCAACUUCCAUCAAAAAUCUCUAAUUCCUGAGACUAUAAAUAGGAGAGAUGAGAACCUCUAGAAAUCUCUCUGCCUCACGAGAUUCAAUCAUAUUCCUUCUUUACUACACACAAUUUGCAACGGUGGUGUUAUCCCAUAUAUUUCUUUACGAUUUGAAAAUUUGACAGUAGUCCUCAGAUGGUGGUGCCACGUUUCAUGGGUUUUUGGAAAGCACGUAACGUCGCAGAAGAAAAGCUGAGACGAGUCAAAAGGUGGAGUUUUCAUGUCCCCUCAAUGAUAUAAUUUAAUUUUAUUAUGUUUUUUCUCUAAUAUUUGUUCCAGUUCCUUAAGAACAUUAUGUUGUGUGGGCUUAAGAAACUAAAAUUUUGAUCUGCUAUUGCCUGUUGAAAUAACAUACCCUAUUGGUCAGCGUUAGAUUUGAAAGUCUGGGCACUUCUUUUGUUUUAUUUCUAUGUUUGUUCGUGUAUUGUGUCUUUUUGAUUAUGUUCUCUUAGAUUGUUUCUACAAAACCUUUGUUUCUCUUUGAGCUUCCUGUUGAGCAUAGUUGAGCAACCAUAUCUUCUUUUGUUUGCUGUUGAAAUCAUUAUAGACUCAUUGCAAGUGUUCUUAAAGUAAUGUUUUUAUUACCCCUCUCCCAGGUAUCUACAGAGCAAGUAACUCCAGAGUGAUCAGAGACAGAAGUAGGAGACAAAGAAGAGGUGACAUUAACGGAUCAGAGAUACUGACGAGAACAAUCAACAGACGACAGACUGUAAAACCCGGAAGGGUCCAAAACUCUGCCGUGUCCAAGAUGCAAGAGCAUGGACACUAAGUUCUGUUAUUACAACAACAUAAACCAGCCUCGCCAUUACUGCAAAGCCUAUCAGAGAUAGUGGACUGUCCACGGGACUAUGAGGACUGUACAUGAGGGUGCAGGAAGGUUCAUGAAGCCGCUACAACAAAAUUUUAUCCUCUUAUUACCGUCACAUGACAAUCUCCGAAGCUCUAGAGGCUGCAAGGUUUGUUCAGAAAAUACAUACCAACACUCGAGUCCUGAGUUUUGGUGUAGAGAAUUUAUUGCUUUAGCGGCUCAUCUGUGACCACUUCUAUCAAUCACUCACUACAAAUAGUUUAAAUUAACGAGACGAUUCCCGAAACUCAUGUGCAUGAUCAUCAUAUCGUCUAUCAUUGUCUAAUUUGGGUUAUUCCUCCUUCACCAUUUCCUUCAUGCACGUAAAAACAAAUCUAUAUAUAUUCUCUUACAUAUAACUAAAAACCAAGAAUAAAAAUAUAAAAAUAAAAUAUAAAUUUUAAUCCGUUGUGAUAAAAUCCAUUAUUUUCAUCAAAACUAAGUAACUAUGAUAAAAAAAAAGCAAUUAGAUCGUAAUUAUUUUCUCUUUCAGAUAAAUGCAUACUUCAAUUUUGUAAAACGUCAUAAAGUUUUUCUCUCAUGUUAUAACUGUUAUAAGUUCUACACAAUUAGCAUAUAACCCAAAGAUAUUGGAAUAUAUGUUAGCAUCUUCUAUAAAUUAGUUACUUAAGUAAUUUAAAUAAUUUAUUUUAUUAUUUUUAAGUUAAACAUCUACAGUCUUAUGAAUUAAUACAAGAAAUAGAAAAUUAUACACUAUUUUGAAUAUAUAUUUUCAUAAUUUUUGUAGAAAUUCAUUAGAGUUUCGAAAAUUUCUAAAUUAAUAAUACAUUUUUCCUAUCAAAUUAUUAAAUAGUUUUAUUUGAUUUUCAAAUAUAAUAACAUAAUUAUGAUUCAAACAAACUUGUAUAUUUAUAAGGAAUAAUAGUUACUUUUUUUUUACAGUAAACAUUCACAAACUCAUGUUGACUCUGUAAACCAAAGUGGUAGUUCUGCAUCCAUAUGUACGACGAAAGACGGUUGUUUCCGAGCACUAAUGAAUAAUAGUUACUAUGAUGAGGUUUUCAUGCUGAUUACCUAAUUUAAAGUAAUUUAUUAAUAAUGAGUCUGCUAUUUUUCCAUAGUUUUUUUUUCAAACUGGUAUUUUUACAUAGUUUAAAUUAGCAAUUUAAAAAAAAAAAAUAGUGUCACUAGAUUCAUUAAACUAACGUACAAAAGAAAAAAUAAUAUAUGUUACUGUGUUCUAUAGAAUCGACUACUGUUUAAAAAUAAUUUAUUAUAUUUACUACUAAAAUCAAGAUAGAAAAUAUUUAAAUGGUCAAAUAAUUAUAUUUUCUUAUUUUUAAUGGUAAAAAUGGUUUGUAUAGAAAUAAUACUAAAACAAAUAGUAAAAAUUAUGGUAAAAAUAAAAAAAGGUUAUUUUUAUUUUUCUUGAGAAUAAAAUAAAUAUUUAAGAUUUAUUUAUAUUAUUUUGUUUGUUGCUUUCCCGCCCGAAGGGCGGGUUGGAUCCUAGUAUAUAUAACAACUUAGCAACAUCAUCGAUCUUCACUCAAGAUUAAAUUUAUAUGACCAUUUCUUAUGAUAUCACGGAUAAUGGUAUAAAUUAUUAUUAUAUAUAUUAGAUGAUGUUGAUUACUUUCGAUGAUAUCACAAAUAAAACUGAAAUGAAAUGACUAUAAACACAGAAAUACUCUUCAAUAACAUAUCUAUCUAUAUUAUUAAAACUGAAGUACACAUUGAGAUUGUUUGGAAACAUGAAUAGUAAUCUUAAAGAAAAUUGUUUGGAAACUUGGAUAAUUAUUGGUCUUUUAGUAAUUUCAUUAACAUAAGGCUUUAACCAAUGUUUCUUAUCCUGUCCCGUUAAUCUUCUAAACCAUCUGGUUUAAUUAAUUCAAUUAAUUUUUAAAAAAGACGCUACAACCUAAAAUCUCGCAUGCAAUCUUAGCAAUAUAUAGAAAUCAGUCCCAUAUAUUACGUAAUUAUUCAUAGGAAGAUUUUUUUCCACUUCUUUUUUUUUCUCCAAGGUAGAUAUCUUUUAGCUCUGUUAUCUUUCCUCCUAAUUUCCGUCAGAUGCCUUUCUAAUUUGUUACCAUAAUCUGCGCAAACAUUUAUAACAAUAUUUAUAAAUCAUUCCCAUAUAUUUUCAAAAGAUAUGAUUUAGUUUAAAAAAUUUAAUGCAGAGAAUAUCCGCACAAAAUCUAUGCACGCCAUAACUCCCCUUAACCAACAUUCUUUCACCUGUCUAUAUAUACCGAGUCUAAGACGUUCCUAACAUUCACACACAUCUCAGAAAACAAACAUGUCUGGCGCAAGAAAAAUGGUUCUUAUCAAUGAUCUCAAGCCAUUCAAAGACGAAUGGCGAAUUAGUUUUAAAGUGUUUUUAUUGAGUUCUAACAAGUAUUGAUUUGCUUUUAUUUUAGACAGAUUACUGUUUUUCUUUAAGUGUUAUAAUUUUGAACUUCUUUGUUAUUUAUAACACAUUCAUUCACAAGAAUACAUAUAUGCAUCAUUAUUCAAUCAAUACUAAAGCCAUAUAGUACUAUGUAACUAUGUAAGGCAAUGGUUCAAUCUUAAUCCUAAAUCUACAUGAUACUACAUUGCUUUCAUAUCAAUUAAGUAAUAAUAGUUACUAACCCUAAGUUGUUGUUUACUUUCUCUGCUCAGGGUGGGAGAGUAACUUCGUUCUGCUCAGCUUGUGGUUGUUCCUUCGCCCACAUUUUCUCAUUGUAAACAAAAAACAACAACCGCUCAACACACUAGAAAAAUACAAAUUUGUUGUCCAUUUUCAUGGAGUAAUCUCUGAAACUCUGAUAAAUAAGUAAAUACACAUAUUAAAACCAGCCGUACUUACUUCUUUUCAACAGUGCUCUUCCCAUGAAAAUAAUUGUCUUCCUCCUCCACUGGCUUGCCAAAGACACGAUGCUCUGUAAAAGCAACCUCAUCAAACUCCUCUAAUAAUUAUUCUCGAUCUAUCAACUCCACUACAGCUCCAAUAAACUGCUUCUAUGUUUGCAGCACUUCUGGAGAAGCUGAUAUACCAAUUCCAAUUAAUAUACACACAAAGCAACUGAAGAAAUAAAUAACUAAAAUCAGUAAAUUAUCUGCCAAUACAUGAACAUGAACGAU